GGAUGUGAGGAUGAUCUGGCUGCAACAUUUGUCACUCCAUUGAUCAACAGGGCUAAUUCACUGAUCUGGCUGGCUAUGUGUAUGCCCCCUUCCUCCCUCACUGCUCCACAUGUGUCCCUCUAGAAGCUGUGUGCUCAGCCUAAGAGGACGACCAUCCCUGAGAGAGGAGAACUGUGUUUCGGUCAAGGGUAUACGAGUAGCUGCACUCCCCUGCUAGAACCUCCAAACAAGCUCUCAAGGUCAAAGAUAGCUGGGUUUUUAACAGAUAAUACACCUAAGCAGGUCAUUUUU
rnacentral:snRNA from 1 species